rnacentral:lncRNA from 1 species
CACCAUCACCUCCUUUGCCAGAACCUGAAGAAGAAGUGGAGAAAGUGGAAAAGCCUAUUGCUGAACCACCAGAUUUGUUGGUAAUUUCAAUGUCUCUUUUUUCAGUUUCAUCUGCAAAUUUUGUAGUUUCAUUUUGAACUUUUCUUUUUGUUGCUAGGGACUAAAUGAUCCCGCCCCAGUUGAUUCUAAAUUAGAUGAGAAGAAUGCCUUGGCAUUGGCCAUUGUUCCUGCUGGUGGUUUUCCAGCUGAGCAAACGACUUCUACUGCUGCUCAAGUUCAAGCAAAUGGUACUACGGGCUGGGAAUUGGCACUUGUCACUGCUCCAAGCUCAAAUGACAGUGCCACUGCCACUAACAAAAUGGUACAUAUUAGAAGGCUAUCGGCAUAUUAGACUGUAAUGACUUGUUCAUGUAUGUCUCACAGAUACUAUUUUAAUUGAAAGGCUGGAGGAUUCGACAAGUUUAUAUUGGACAGCCUGUAUGAGGAUGCACUCCAAAGAAGCAACCAAAACGUCAGCUAUAAUCCAUGGGAACCACCUCCAGCAUCUGCUGCUAUGAUGCAACAACCAAUACAAGAACCCUUUUACGGCUCUGACCCACCUUCAGUCCAGAUAGCCGCAAUGGCGAACCAGCAUCAGGCUUUCAUGCUGCAGCAGCAGAUGCUGAUGAUGAUGGGCCCACAACAGUCGCCUUCUAAUGCUUUCGUAAAUACUUAUGGAGCCAGUGUCAGCCCUUGCAACUCAGGUAUGCCUGUUCAGCCAUAUACAGGCCUUAUAUAGACACGCUGGACGAGAAAAAUGUCGAGGCACACGAAGAUGCAACGUUCGAAUUGUCAAAUGUGAACAUGUUUUGUAGCAUAUUUUGUCAAUGCCCAGCAAUUAGCGUAUUCUUUUGUUAUUUGAUUAUUUUCAUUGAUCAUCUGUAAUUAGCUUAGCUAUAUUAAGAAUAAACAUGUCUGUUUAUUUGUUUAAAUUUGUUUGUUUAUGGAUUCAUCAACUGGUUUUAAAAAUAUGUUACAAAUAGAUGUGUAUGUAUAUAUGUGAAAAAUAAAAAGAUGGGACAAAUCAGGAAAAGCCACUGCCUUGUUACAUCAACCAGGACGACAAAAAAAAGAGUCCAUCAAAAAACAAAUGCGAACAGAAUAUAAGCGAUGAUCAGCGAAAGCAGCAGUAUCAAUGUCACCCUGCAAGACAAACAAAAAUUCAUAAAUGAAAUUGCUGCUAAAAGACUGAACUAUGAUUAGCCUCUCUCUCUCUCUCUCUCUCUAUAUAUAUAUAUAUGUACUUACGUGAUCUUGCAAUUACUCCACCACAUGGCAUUCUUGUAACGACGAGAUUGCUUUUUGAAUCGAAGUGAAUUCCCCUGCAUUGUGCUUGCCUUUUCAACCAGCAACUCCAACCGGUCGCCUCUCUCCAAUACUUUUUCAAUGUUGUCAAUCAUUACACUACGUACCUGUACGUACAAAUUUAUGAAAAAAUUGGAAUUUCAGGGAUAAAAAUCAUAAUAUAUAUAUAUGCAAAAUUUGCCUACGUACGUACCUGGCUCAUUUCCCCUUUCAACCGGUUUAAUCUAUCAGCAUUGGGAUCAGUUGAAAAAUGUUCCAUUUGUUGACUCAUGACCCUGGAGAAUUCUUCAUUCAUAGCAUAACCCGAAGCUGACUGAAUAGCACGACCAUAUGUCUUUACAAAUUUUUGAUGAAUCUCUUCAAGGAAAGCAAAAGGGAUUCUCCCUAUAUACAUAAUUCAUAAUAUCAAUAAAAUUAAUCAAAUGCCAACCAAUGAGAAAUAAAGAAAAACAUGGAAUAAUUGUAAAGGAAGCUGCUUACUGCCGGAGGCAUCAUCGGCCAUGCAAAGAACGGUGAGGCCAUCGGUUCUUUUGACAUGAAAAAUAUAACGAUCAUGGGAAAAAGAAGAAUUGCUAUCGUUCUUUCCUUGGCUCAUCUUCUCCAAAAUCUGUCUUGCUACGGUGCUGGCAUUUGUUUGAGUAGCGCUAAACUCCGCCAAAACAACCUGCCCCCUUGCCACCAUCCCAUAUAAAAUCCCCAUUUUCUUAAAUGGGGAGUUGGCGAUUGAGGAUCGGUGGCGUGGAUGCUAGAUUUUUAAGGGCUGAGAAAUGAGAAAAUGGAACGGCAAAAUAUAUUUAUAUAAUAAAACAAAGAAAGAGAGGAGGGAAGGAAUAGAUACAGGGAUGAAUUGGCGAGUUUGACGGGUUAAAGAAACGUGGACCAAUCAUAUUGCGUUUCCAUGGGUGGGAAACAAAUGGAAAAAAAAGAAAGGGUGUACAGUCUGGAUAUGAUGCUGCUGCAAUCAAAACCGUCACUAACACUUCAUCGUUCCACUUUAUUUAAUCCCAUUAGCUCUCCGACUGUUUUUCCUUUUCCCUUCAUUUAUAGCAUAAUUAAUAAUUGUAACAAUACCAUAAUUUGUAAUCCCAUAAUAGAAUGCUAAAAUAUUUUGUUAAAUAAAGACUACAAUUCAGACAAAUAACUCAUAUGUGGUCAAGGUUUUGAUUAAGGGGUUGGAAGAUUUAAGUCGCAUCGUAUUUAGAAAGGUUUAUAGGGUUAUGCAUUCUGAAUGAUAGUGGAUCAAAAAUGUGCCCAGAGAAAAUAAUUUAAUUGCGGAUCGUUUGGCUAGACUCUGUUUAGCAUGGAAGUCAAGCUUAUAAAUUUUUUAUGUUCCUCCAAAUGAUGUGUUGGAGGCUCUUCAAUAAGACAAAACGGUACAUUUGAGCAAUAUUCAUUUAAUGUAAUCUUGUUUUAUUUUUCACUAAAAAAAAUUCAGUACCUAUCUAAGUAAUCCAAAAGAGAGAAACAUUCAUUUUUUGGUAAAAGAAUGGUGAAGGUACUUGGAUUUGAAGUCAAAUUACAUUUUAUCCCCUUUACUUAAAAAAUGAAUAAAUUAGUCACCAUGCGUUAAAUCAAAGAAUAAAUUGGUUGUUUCUAUUAAAUAUACAAUCAUUAUUUAUUGUUAAAAACUAACGUGACGGACAUAAUAACCAAACAAUAACACAUGAGCAUAUCACGUGUACUUUAUGCUGACAUACAAUGACUCGUUUUUAACCGUAAAAAUAGAUGAAAUAUUUAAUAAAAAGACCAACUUAUUCUUUAAUCUAAAAUAUAAGAAUUAAUUUACAUACUUUUUUGAAUAAAUUGAUAUGAUUUAAAAAUAUGUUCAUGAAUAAAUAUAUAUAAUUUAUUUUAUUUAAAUUGCAUGUUUUAAAUUUUAAUUCAAUUGUUCACUAUUUGAUUUUAUACAUUUCAUAGAUUACUUCGUAGAUUUAAAGUUAAAUUGCUUUUAGUGUUGAAAUAUUUUCCUUUAGGGAAAAAAGAUUUUCGAAAGUAAUUUAAGAAUCUAGAAAUUAAAAGGUUAAAUUUUGUUAUUAAUAUAUGUACUUUUUGAAAAUUGUGAAUUUAGUCCAUAUACUUUAAAUUGAUAAAUAUUAGUACAUGAACUUUUUGAAUUGGUCGAUUUCAGUCCGUGUAUUUUUUUAUUUUUGAAAUUUUAGUCUUGACUGAAAUAGUAGCAAUUAAAACCGUUUGGUUAAAUUCAAUUAUUAGUAUUGUAUUGUACUUACAGUUGUACAUUUAGUCAAUAUUCUCUAAUUGGAUCAUUCUAAGUCCCUAUAAUUUUUUUAAUUUUGAAAUAUAUUUGUCAACACAAAUGACCGCCAUUAAUCCAUUAACUAGAUUUUUAGCGAGUGAUAUGUGGAAAUAACAAGUUGAUAUGGAAUUAUAUAUAUGUUAAUAUGUUUGUCGCGUUAUAUUUUUUAAAUAAAAAACAUUAAUUUAAUAAAUUUAACAGUUAUUGUUCGGUGAGGACUAAAUAUGAUCAAAUUAAAAUACAGGUGUUAAAUCCACAACUUUCAUAAAGUACAGGGAUUAAUAUCAAAUUUUAAUCAAAUUAAAAUGUUGAUUGUUAUCCCAUUGUUUAACCCAAAGGCCCUAAUGAAUUUCUUUUUCUGGGUUUCAUUAAUUUUGGGUUGUGAAGUUCAGAGCUUGUCGACUGAUCUUUGGCCCAAAUUAAACUCAAUAUAUGUUUCACUUUUUAAAAUAAACCACAAAAUAUAGGAAAAUUAGUCAAAUAUUGCGUCCGUUAUCCUCCUUAAUUAGAUGAAGACAUAAAAUAUAAUUAUUAUAAUUUAAUUUUAAUUAAUGAAGAUAAUGUAUAAAAUUAAUGAUUACGUAGAUUCUUUAAUAAUAUCACCCUUUAAAAUAAACUAAAAAUAACAACCUUAUAAAGAAAUACGAAAAUAUAGAUAGUAAAACUAGUCAUACGUGUCAAUACAUAAUUAAAAUAUUUCAAGAUUUCAUAUUAUAUACGCUUUGCAUUUGAUUAACUAUUAAUUAUUUUUAAAUUAUAUUACAAGUCCAUAUUUGAAUAUUAAAAUAUACUUUUAAGUCUUUAUACUUUUUGUAUAUUUAAAAUUUAGUAUUUUUAUUUUUUUUAAAUUUAGUUUAUCUAAUUUUCAAAAUUAAAAUCCAGAUUCAAUUAUUAACACUAUUAAAUUAUUUUAUUAAAUUCACUAGUAUAACAUUUUGAAAUUUAAAAAAAAAAUACUCACUUGAUAGUCAUGUAACAAAAAAAAAACAUUACAAUGAUAUAAAAAUUUGAGGUAUCAAAUUAUGUCAAUAAAUUAAAAUAUAAAAAUUGAACCUUAAAUUGAGUAUACGCAAAGAUCAAAAUUGAAAUAUGACCGUUGCUAUAUAAUCUAAAAUUUAAGUAUAGUGCAAAGAUUAAAAUUAAAAUUUUAUUAUUUUUUAUAAAAUGCCAAAAAGAGAGAGAGAGAGAAGAGGAUGACCUUCUUUUUAUAUAUAUAAUUAUAUACAUCCAAAAUUUAAAUUACAAAAUUAAAUAUUUUUUAUUGAACUUAUUGGGUAAUAGUUUCGUUUGAAUAAGAUACGAUUUACCAUUUGACUGAUGAGGUAUAUAGUCAAUGGUUAACCUAACUUGGAUUGGUUUAACAAACAUAAUGAUUUCCUGAAAGUUUGAAAUCGAUGAUUAAGAGUGAAAUCAUAAAUCAAUGAUUACACGCAAUGGAAUAUUAGUACAAAUAUUCUAAUGCUUUAAAUAAAGUUAACUUUUACUUAAAUAAAAAAAAAUUACUGUUGAUCCAUUAUACUUUUUAUCUUCCAAGUUCCAAUAAAAUUCUAAAAAAAUUAAUAAAUUAUACAAUCUAAUAAUCCAUUUAAAUUUUAAAGUGAAUGCUUCGUAAAAAAGUUUUUGGAGUUGAAUUUGAAUUUUUUUUUCACAUUAAUAUUUAUAUAUUUAUAUUAUUUUAAUUUUUAUCUGAGUUAGUGGAUUAAAAAUAUCGGUAAAUUAUUUCAAAGUUUUCAUUUAAAAGUCAUUGAACUGUUAAAUUUAUUGUUGUAUGGUGUUUUUGUUCGUACCGCCUACAUCAAUUGAACGCUUUCUUUCCUCUUAUUUUCUUCAGUUAAGUGAAUCAAAAUUUAAACAUCUUUUUAUUUUGAUCUUCAACACUGGCUGCCAGAUCAACUUGGUUCUGAGAUAUGUUAUUCUACUCGUUAACGGACACUGAUCCACCAUAUCGAUUGUUGGAUCAUCGUUUAGAACUCGUUAGCUGAACUCAAAAAAACAAACAAACAAACAGCCUAGUAAUUUAAAUAAGAACAUUUGAAUAGUUUAAUGACUUAAAUAAAAAUUUUUAAAUAGUUUAACAACCAUUUUAUAAUUUUUUAAAAUUUAAAUAAUCAAAACAUAAAUUUUUUUGAUAAUUUAGUGACAUGUGACCUUAAAAUUAAAAUUCCUUAGCAUGGAAGUAAAUCCAAAUUAUAUUAUGUAAAACGACUAACUUUUAGGGACCAUUUCUAAAUGAAUUUAUCUUCUAUUACAAUAUUUGCUCUUAGAUGGUAGGAAUGGCGUAAAGUUCAAUUGUAAGUACAAGUGAUGUAUCAUUCAAAUAUAAAAUUUUGUAUGAAUCCAGUUUUUCCACCACAAGCUUUGAUGAUGACGGAGAAUGACGAAUCAGGGAGAUAGAAAAGGGGGAAACAAGACAUAGACAAUAGACAAUGACAGCGUGAGAGACCCAUCACAUCGGGUUGAGGAAGACGAAGGAAAGGCACAAAUCACGGAUCAAGAUGAAUACAAGAAAAAGCCAUGCAUUCACGGACGGACGCUCCCUCUAUCACUAAUAUUUUUGUUUAUUUAUAUAUAUUUCUUUUAUCGUGGCCGUUAAUUAUCUUAACAGGAUUGAAUUGAGUAUUGAUCGAAAUAUUAAUUCGAAUAAAAAUAUUAAAUCAAUGGAAUCAUAAAUUGAUAUAAAUUGAUUAAAUUAAAUUAAAAUUUUAAUUGAAUUGGCUCGUGAAUUAUUUUUUUAUUUAUUUUUAUAUAUUUUAAUAAUUUAUUUAAUCAGUUCGAGGGACCGAUAAACCAAUCACAUUACCGGUUCGACCAAAUCUUAUGGCCUUCCCCACCGCCAUUCUCUCCUCUCUCCCUUGCAACAACAAUUUCACAUGCUUUUGCUGUACACCAAACCAAACAUGCGUUUGCUUUUUUUUUCUUUUUUUAAUUAGUGAAGUUUCCCUUUUAAUAUUUAUAUAUCUCAACCUUUUCUAAUUACUAUCAUGAUCAUAAAAGAGUUAAGAGGUUGUGUUUUUUCGUUUUAGGUAUAAUAUGCAUUUUAGUCCUCAACAUUUAUAUCUUUUUGUUAAUUUGACUUUUUUUUUUCUUUUAGUUAAAAUUGACUUUUAAUCUUUUCUAAAAAUAGUAAAAUUUAACUAUCAAUUUAAGUUAAAAGAUAAAUAGUGUUAUGUCAAUAUAAAGUAUGCAUAGACUGACAUAUGGGUUUCAAUUAACAUUUCCAUUAAAAAAAACUAUUUUUUGACUUUUUUUGAAUGAUUAAUGAUUAAAUUUAAUUUAAAAAAGAAUAAAGAUCAAAUUGAUAAGAAGUGUAAAUAUUGAGGACUAAAUCUGGCAUUAUGCCUUUUUAAAUGUUUCAUUUUAAAGGAUGAAUAUAAUUCUACCAUGGAAUCUAAUAAUUUCAUUGUUAAAAGUAAUUGGACUUAAUUAGGUUUCAAUGAACGGGGUGUUUCUUUUAAUUAUUCCGCUUUAUUUUAUCAAAAUUAUUGUAGGUACCUUUAGGUAAUGACAAGAUUGUUUGUCAUUAACUUAAUGGUAUAUGUUUCUUUUGAGAAAAUUUUCAGAUUCUGAUAUAACUCAGCAUAUACUAUGCUAUGGUGCCAUAACUGAAUUUGAGGAGACAUAUGCAAUGACAAGGAAAAUAAAUUUUGCUCAAUUCUAAUAAUAAAAGUAUCUACCAUGUGAGAAUUUACCAUGUCCCCAUAGCAUCUGCCAAAUGAACAGGUUAAAUUUUUUUUAAAUACUACGUAAAAAUGAUUUUUGAAUCAAUUUUUAUAAUUUCAAGGUUAAAUUUUGCUAUCAGCCUCUCUACUUUGGAAAAAGUUAUGGAUUUAGUCCUUGUGUUUGAAUUUGAUCAUUUUUAGUCUAUGUACUUUUUAAAUUUUGUUUCAGUCAUCACUAAACGGCAACUAUUUAAAUUUAUUAUGCUAUGCUAUUUCAAAAAUCCAAUGCAGUAUUAUCAUAUGUUUAGCUCCAUGUCAUUUCGACAUAUUACUCGCUAAAAUUCAGUCGUGUCAAGAUUGAAAUAUCAAAAUUCGAAAAAGUAUAGAGACUUAGAAUGAUCCAAUUGGAGAAUAUGGACUAAAUCUAUAAUUGUACGCAUAAUACAUGACUAGUAAUUGAAUUUAAUUACUUGGAUUUAAUUGCUACUGUUUGAGUCAUGACUAAAAUUUUAAAAUCUGAAAAGUAUAAGAACUAAAUCCAUAAUUUUAGCAAAAUACAGGGACUAAUAUAACAAUUUAACCAAGAAUAAUUCAGGGGCAAACAUUUUGAGAGGAUGAAAUGUAAUUUUAUUAUUAUUACUUUAUAAUUUUAUAAACUGUAAAAGAAGUUAAAAAUAUUGUUUUUAGGGGGUGGGGACCUGCCAGCCCCUGAAACAAUUAUAGAAUUUUGAACUAAUCUAUUUGAGAGGCUGUGUAAGGAUUUAAUAGAUUUUGUGUAUUAAUCACCAACCAUUUUAUAUGUGAAUAGCUGUCUUUUUUUGGCACGGUUUAUUACAAUGAAUGAAGCUGAGGGACUGAGAUAAUUGUAUGCAUAUAACGAUACUUGAAACCAUGAAUAUUAGGGGUCACUUCCCAUAAAAAAUAUUAGAAUCAUUGAUUUAAACUAAUAAUGCAGUGGGGGCAUCCAAUUUCUCUAGCUGGAAAUGAAAGAUGUAAAGCAAUAUUUUUAAAUAAAAAAUAAAACCCACCAUAUCAACAUGUGAUUAUACAGGCAAGAGGAUGGUCUAAUCAUCUCGAUCGGUCAGCUAUCAUGUGGCCCCCUAUGUUGCAUUAAUCAAAAUAUUUUUAUUUUGCUAGAUUUUAUAAUUAUUAUAUUUCAUCGUAAUUAAUUACAUUCAAACAUGUCUUAAUCGUGGUUUUAUAUUUAAUCCAAAACUUUUAUUCUCAUCCGUGAAUAUGGCUUUUACUUCAAAAGAAAACACUAAAGUGCUUUGUGGCCUUUAUUUCCAAAAAAGACAUGACAUUUGGCUUAGCAGAUAAUAUAAAAUAACCAGAUGGCGUUAGACCAUAUCGAAGAGAGGUUACUGUUAGCAGAUUAUUUACAACAUUAAAAGUAACAUAAAAAAACACUAAACCGAUAAUCAAGGGUAACAAAAAUUUAUAGAGAUAGAAUGAGGCAUAUCUAAGUUGUGAACCUAUGUCAUGCGUAGGUCAACCAUACAACUUGUACGGCAGUCCAUACAAAGGUAGGGUCAGAUUUUGUGGUAUAACCCGGCCGCUGUGUAUUUUCUUUAAAGAGAAGGCAAUACAUCGUCAAGAAGACACAUUUUACUUGGAUAAUAUGUUUUAAUUGUCCUUAAUUCCCAUAUUACUAUUUUUUUGAUAUAGAAUUUGGUUACUUCCAACUGCUUUAUAUUUAAAUAUUCAACGUUUUCAGAUAUGCAUGAGGAGAAUAUCGUAAAAUCAAACUAAAAUCUAUUGUUUCUUUCUAAAUAAAUACGGAUUAGAUAGCAGAGAUUAAAUCUUUAUAUGUACACAUCCUUGUAUUUGUAAAGGCAAAGUAAUAGAGUGCCAACUUGCAAAUUUUGGCAGCUGCCUUUCGAACCAAGCCCAUCUUCACGUGAUGUGCUUCUGCUUCUAGGGCUUGUUCAUUUUUGUUUGUUUUCUUCUACUCUUUGAUAUUUUGCUUAUAAAUCUUGCUUCUUUACAAUCCUUUUUUACACUCAAUUCUCUCUUUGGGUUUGAAAAAUGGAGUCCAACACCAAAAUGUCAGCUCUUCUUUUGCUUUGCAUGCUUUUCAUUUCUUCAGUGACACCAAUUCUUGGGUGUGGUUCAUGUGGGAAAGCACCACACAAGCAUCGAAAGCCUAAGGGAAAGUCCCCUAAAGGUCCCAUCACUUUGCCUCCCCUUGUGAAACCUCCAAUCAAGUUGCCACCGGUUGUUCCUCCAAUAGUUAAGCCACCCAUUGACCUCCCUCCGGUUACAGUCCCUCCAAUUAACCUCCCUCCAGGGACGGUUCCUCCAGUAACUAAGCCACCAAGUGGGAAACCCUGCCCAACACCACCAACCAAGGACACUUGCCCCAUUGACACACUGAAAUUGGGUGCUUGUGUGGAUCUGNNNNNNNN